UACGUAGGGGGCAAGCGUUAUCCGGAUUUACUGGGUGUAAAGGGAGCGUAGGUGGUUCGGCAAGUCAGAUGUGAAAGCCCGGGGCUCAACCCCGGGACUGCAUUUGAAACUGCCUUACUAGAGUGCAGGAGAGGUAAGUGGAAUUCCUAGUGUAGCGGUGAAAUGCGUAGAUAUUAGGAGGAACACCAGUGGCGAAGGCGGCUUACUGGACUGUAACUGACACUGAGGCUCGAAAGCGUGGGGAGCAAACAGG
rnacentral:rRNA from 2 species